rnacentral:rRNA from 1 species
AAAUUGAAGAGUUUGAUCAUGGCUCAGAUUGAACGCUGGCGGCAGGCCUAACACAUGCAAGUCGAACGGUAACAGGAAGCGCUUGCUGCUUCGCUGACGAGUGGCGGACGGGUGAGUAAUGUCUGGGAAACUGCCUGAUGGAGGGGGAUAACUACUGGAAACGGUAGCUAAUACCGCAUAACG